GCAUAUUAAUCAUAGUACUUAGUAUUUUAUAAAAAAUGAUUAUUUACUCUGAAAACCUUCCGAAUAAUUCUGGAUCGGCAUUUAAAUUAGCGGUGACCGGUCCAUCCCUUACCCGGCGACCUUUCCUAUAAAUAUCCUUCAUAUCCCUCCUUUCUUUACUUGCAUUCGACUCUCUCUCCUCUCUCUCUCAUACUCGAUAGCACUCUCUCGCUCUCGCUCUCCCGAACCGCUUACAGAGACAAGAAUACUCACAAAUAUAUCUAUUUGACGUAAUUAAAAAAUAUUUAAUUCAUCAAAUUGUUUUUCUUUAAAUUAUUGUUUCUCUCUCUAGAUUUGGUGUCCUUUUGAGAUAACUUUUUAUUUUCUCUCUCUUUUUAUUUUUAUUUUUAUUUUUGUUAGAAUAAAAUCAUUUAGCUUGAGUGAAAAUAUUAAUUGAUAAUUGUGUUUGUGUAAAUUAGAUCGAAAUAAAAUGCGUUUGACUAUGCUGUUGAUUGAUUUUGUAUUGGAGCUACUUUCGAUUUGACCCCGAUUACACAUUGGAUUUUGGGGAUAUUCCGNNNNNN
rnacentral:lncRNA from 1 species